GACGAACGCUGGCGGCGUGCUUAACACAUGCAAGUCGAACGGAAAGGCCCUGCUUUUGUGGGUUGCUCGAGUGGCGAACGGGUGAGUAACACGUGAGUAACCUGCCCUUGACUUUGUGAUAACUUCAGGAAACUGCGGCUAAUACCGCAUAUGAUCUCCUGCUGCAUGGUGGGGGUUGGAAAGUUUCGGCGGUUGGGGAUGUACUCGCUGCUUAUCAGCUUGUUGGUGUGGUAGUGGCUUACCAAGGCUUUGACGGGUAGCCGGCCUGAGAGGGUGACCGGCCACAUUGGGACUGAGGUACGGACCAGACUCCUACGGGAGGCAGCAGUGGGGAAUAUUGCACAAUGGGCGGAAGCCUGAUGCAGCAACGCCGCGUGCGGGAUGACGGCCUUCGGGUUGUAAACCGAUUUCGCCUGUGACGAAGCGUGAGUGACGGUAAUGGGUAAAGAAGCACCGGCUAACUACGUG
rnacentral:rRNA from 1 species